CCAAUAGCGUAUAUUAAAGUUGUUGCAGUUAAAAAGCUCGUAGUUGAACUUCGGGGUUUACCCAUUGGUCAGGCUUAAUUGUCUGUACUGGUGAGAUAAAUCUCUACCUUCUGAGGAACUUUUAUGCCAUUUAUUUGGUGUGAUGGGAAAUCAGGACUAUUACUUUGAAAAAAUUAGAGUGUUUAAAGCAGGCUAACGUCUGAAUACAUUAGCAUGGAAUAAUGAAAUAGGACGGACUGAUUCUAUUUCGUUGGUUUCUAGGAUCACCGUAAUGAUUAAUAGGGAUAGUUGGGGGGCAUUAGUAUUCAAUUGUCAGAGGUGAAAUUCUUGGAUUUAUUGAAGACUAACUACUGCGAAAGCAUUUGCCAAGGAUGUUUUCAUUAAUCAAGAACGAAAGUUAGGGGAUCGAAGACGAUCAGAUACCGUCGUAGUCUUAACCAUAAACUAUGCCGACUAGGGAUCGGACGAAGUUAAUUUUAUAAUGACGCGUUCGGCACCUUACG
rnacentral:rRNA from 1 species